rnacentral:rRNA from 1 species
UACGGGAGGCCCCACUCGGGAAUCUUUCACAAUGGGCGAAAGCGUGAUUUAGCAACGCCGCGUGAAUGAUGAAGGCCUCAGGGUUGUAAAACUCUGUAUUCCCGGAGGAAAUAAUGCCAGUUGGAAUGCUUGCAGAGUGACGGUACCGAAGGAGGAAGCCCCGGCUAAAUACGUGCCAGCAGCCGCGGUAAUACGUAGGGGGCGAGCGUUUUUCGGAAUUAUUGGGCGUAAAGGGCGCGCAGGGGGCCAUUUAAGUCUCGGGUGAAAACCCCCAGCUCAACUUCGGGAAUGCCCUUGAUACUGGGUGGCUUGAGCUUGGGAGAGGCAAGGGGAAUUCCACGUGUAGCGGUGAAAUGUGUAGAGAUAUGGAGGAACACCAGUGGGGAAGGGGCCUUCCUGGGUCAUUACUGACGCUGAGGCGCGAAAGCGUGGGGAGCAAACAGGAUUAGAUAC